rnacentral:rRNA from 1 species
GACGAACGCUGGCGGCGUGCCUAAUACAUGCAAGUCGAACGCAGCGGGGACGGGUGCGUAACACGUUGGUAACCUCCCAUCAGAGGGGAUAACACUUGGAAACAGGUGCUAAACCGAUACUGAUGGAUGGACCCGCGGUGCAUUAGCUAGUUGGUGAGGUAACGGCUCACCAAGGCCGCGAUGCAUAGACGGCCAGAGAGGGUUAUCGGCCACACUGGGACUGAGACGCGGCCAAGACUCCUACGGGAGGCAGGAGAAGGAAAUCUUCGACAAUGAACGAAAGUCUCGCCGAGCAAAGCCGCGUGAGUGAAGAAGGUUUUCGGAUAGUAAACCUCUGUUGUGAGAGAAGCGGUAUCUAAACAGAAUGCCACAGCUAACUACAUGCAAGCAGCCGCGGUAAUUC